rnacentral:rRNA from 1 species
UACGGAGGGGGCUAGCGUUGUUCGGAAUUACUGGGCGUAAAGCGCACGUAGGCGGCGCAACAAGUUAGGCGUGAAAUGCCUGGGCUCAACCCAGGAACUGCGCUUAAGACUGUUGUGCUAGAGACCGGGAGAGGGUGGCGGAAUUCCCAGUGUAGAGGUGAAAUUCGUAGAUAUUGGGAAGAACACCGGUUGCGAAGGCGGCCACCUGGACCGGAACUGACGCUGAGGUGCGAAAGCGUGGGGAGCAAACAGG